UCCGUUCAGCGAGCAAAGGCCAGCCGAGGGAGAUCGUGUGUCGGCCAUCUCGCGUCGCCACGAAAACACGACAGUCGUUCGUCAUGCCUUGGAUAUAACAACAAAUCCUCCACGGCACCCGCUUUAUAUAACGCAAGAAGGCAGCUGCAAGGACACGAGGAUGUGAAAGAGCCAGUGCAGCGCGACUUCACGUAGUGCAGAGGAGCCAAUGCCAAAAAAUCAAAAUACAUUGGCAUGUUAUUUGGACAAGAAAACUAGUAUGUGGGUAUAUUGGGUGUACCAUUUGACCAAAUGUCAACAAAAUCAAGAUACAGUAUGUUACACGAAGAUGAAAAUUCUCACGUGCUCCAGGCAGUCAUCUUAACAUGGUAUAUUUAUGUAAUGUCUCUGAUUGGAAAGUCAAAUCAAGUAUGCUCUCUGGAGACAAACACAUUGCAGCAAGUGUCAUUGAAAAGUUAAAAAUGUGUUUUAAGAAAGCUGAUUAGUUCUGAGAAGUGACUGCUUUUUGUCUUGCCUCUCAACAGAUAUAUCCAUGUGAUAAAAAAAUAGUGGUACAAUGAAAUUGCAUAUUUCCUUAGCGACAUGAUACAUACUUGCAAUGAGCACGGUGCCUGUGUUUACUAUAAAGAGCAACAGCCCAUGCUUGGUUAGGUUAGGCCAACUACAACAUGCAGGCAUGGGUGAUUGGCGCUUUUUUUAUUUCUGUGUCGUGAGGUUUAUUGACGUGCGUAUAGGUGCAGUGGCACGCAGUAUGGCUAGUACAAAAAAGGGGGGGGGGGGCAGAUAUAUGUAGCUCACUGUACACGACACAGGGCAAAGGAAAUCCGUGUUCAGUAACUAUGUUAAAUGCCAUGUACGUAAAUUUUACAACGCUACUCGUUCGAAGCGUGCACAGGUGCAUAUUCAAGAAAAGUUUCCAGGGUAGAUAAUUUAGUUCGUAAUUUACACUAAUUUUGCUCUAACCACGAGACAUAAUAAUUUGAAUAUACUGCACGGAAAAACCUAGAGCGAAUUAAAUUGUGUGUCAGCUUCGUGUGUAUACAUAUAGUCUUUCCUAUGCAUUAGGUUUUUUGCGUAAUGCAUUAGCAGUUGACAGCCUAUCUUAUGAUGUGUACUCUGUUUACAUUACAGUUGUUUAUUAGUUUACUCGUUUGUUUUGCGACUGAUGAAAUGCCGGCAUAUAUAUAUUUUCCACAUUUGACAUAACCCUGUAUGUUUUGCAGGGACAACCCAGGACGUGCAUUUCUCAGCACCCAGUCAACUGCCAAAAGUGACUCAAACACAGGCCACCAGUGGAACUCGGCUGUACCACUGCAGUGCUGCGGAAAUUGCCUUCACCAGCGGCUUUGCAACAGCUGUUUCGCAGCAUGUCGG